UACGUAGGGCGCAAGCGUUAUCCGGAAUGAUUGGGCGUAAAGCGUCUGUAGGUGGCUUUUUAAGUCCGCCGUCAAAUCCCAGGGCUCAACCCUGGAAUGCCGGUGGAAACUGUCGGGCUAGAGUCCGGAAGAGGCGAGUGGAAUUCCUGGUGUAGCGGUGAAAUGCGCAGAUAUCGGGAGGAACACCAAUGGCGAAGGCAGCUCGCUGGGACGGUACUGACGCUGAGACGCGAAAGCGUGGGGAGCGAACAGG
rnacentral:rRNA from 1 species